GCCCAGUCUUGACGUUUCAGCUUGUGUGUCUUGUUCAGUGGUGGUCGUCUUUCAGCCUUUCUUACCUUGGCCAUGUCUCUGAGUAUUGCACACCUUGUGCUUUUGGGCACUCCAGUGAUGUUGCAGCUCUGAAAUAUGGCCAAACUGGUGGCAAGUGGCAUCGUGGCAGCUGCACGCUUGACUUUUCUCAGUUCAUGGGCAGUUAUUUUGCGCCUUGGUUUUUCCACACGCUUCUUGCGACCCUGUUGACUAUUUUGAAUGAAACGCUUGAUUGUUCGAUG